rnacentral:rRNA from 1 species
CCUACGGGAGGCAGCAGUGGGGAAUAUUGGGCAAUGGGCGCAAGCCUGACCCAGCAACGCCGCGUGAAGGAAGAAGGCUUUCGGGUUGUACACUUCUUUUGUCAGGGACGAAGCAAGUGACGGUACCUGACGAAUAAGCCACGGCUAACUACGUGCCAGCAGCCGCGGUAAUACGUAGGUGGCAAGCGUUAUCCGGAUUUACUGGGUGUAAAGGGCGGGUAGGCGGGGAAGCAAGUCAGAUGUGAAAACCACGGGCUCAACCUGUGGCCUGCAUUUGAAACUGUUUUUCUUGAGUGCUGGAGAGGCAAUCGGAAUUCCGUGUGUAGCGGUGAAAUGCGUAGAUAUACGGAGGAACACCAGUGGCGAAGGCGGAUUGCUGGACAGUAACUGACGCUGAGGCGCGAAAGCGUGGGGAGCAAACAGGAUUAGAUACCCCUGUAGUC